UGUGGACGGAAGCAACAGCAUCGACGGUACAACAUUGCGUGAGGGUCCCUCGUCAAACAGCAAACACAUCUACACCACCAGGGUAGCUGAGCGAAGUCUACGUCGAUCGGGCCGUCUAGCUAGUGCCAACCAGAAGAAGAGGAAGAAUUAAGCGAAACGAGUAGGGAUUGUACGCAGUGCGAUUUGCAGAACGCCACCUUUUUUGUUUAAAACGACUUAAACAUAACAAUUAGUAGUUUUAAAACAUUGCGCUGAACGAUACUCCGUGUACGACCGAAGCGAGUGGUUCUAGACCGUGGUCGCGAGAACCACACAGCUACUUCGGUUCCGAGCAGAACCUGGCAAGUGUCCAAACGGCCAAGGAGGCCAAAAAGAUCCCCAGAACACGCGUAAGCAAUUAGGCUGGGCAAAACUGGUCGUCACCGAACAUCGUUGUCGUGUUUAAUGAUCAAUCGGAUUGAGGGAAAACUAAUUGUAAGUCUACAGAACAUCUACUGAUAGCAAUGAACUUAAUAAAACGAAUUAUUUCAGCUUUAAGCUGCGCUACACAAAACAGCUGCUGCAAAGAGUUUCACCCAAAUCAACAUUAUCAAAGAAUUACGUGAGUUCUCGUGAACAGACAAAGCACACGAUGGCGACCUUUCCGCAGGAGAUGAUACUUCGACCGUGCAAGAUCUGCCAACAGGACGGUCGACCGGACAAUAUGAUGCUCUGCUUCAGCUGUAAAGGAUGGUUUCAUCCGCGCUGCUUGGGUCCCGGAGAGAAGCUAUUCAUUGGAAGCUGGACGUGCGCAGCCUGUGUGGCUGCGGCAGAACUCCUGCAAGUGAAUCAACCACUAUCGCACCGAACACAGUACAAACUGAAACCUCAGCUACUGCAACAAAGGCGCCGGCUGGGUCGAUUCUCACCGAGAAGGCCAAAGUGGAUUUACUGUGGAUAGCAGAGCAAAGGGAGUACGUUCUCCGUGAAGUUGAAAGACAACGGCUGGAACUAGAUCA